rnacentral:rRNA from 1 species
UGCAGUCGAGCGGUAGAGAGAAGCUUGCUUCUCUUGAGAGCGGCGGACGGGUGAGUAAUGCCUAGGAAUCUGCCUGGUAGUGGGGGAUAACGCUCGGAAACGGACGCUAAUACCGCAUACGUCCUACGGGAGAAAGCAGGGGACCUUCGGGCCUUGCGCUAUCAGAUGAGCCUAGGUCGGAUUAGCUAGUUGGUGAGGUAAUGGCUCACCAAGGCGACGAUCCGUAACUGGUCUGAGAGGAUGAUCAGUCACACUGGAACUGAGACACGGUCCAGACUCCUACGGGAGGCAGCAGUGGGGAAUAUUGGACAAUGGGCGAAAGCCUGAUCCAGCCAUGCCGCGUGUGUGAAGAAGGUCUUCGGAUUGUAAAGCACUUUAAGUUGGGAGGAAGGGCAUUAACCUAAUACGUUGGUGUCUUGACGUUACCGACAGAAUAAGCACCGGCUAACUCUGUGCCAGCAGCCGCGGUAAUACAGAGGGUGCAAGCGUUAAUCGGAAUUACUGGGCGUAAAGCGCGCGUAGGUGGUUCGUUAAG